CUGUAAAAUUUACUUCAAUUGAACAUAUGUCUAUGAAAUUAGAACUUAAAGAUAGUUUUUUAAAAAAAUAUCAUGCUUCUCAUAUUCCCAUUGUGGAACACUUGUCUAGUAUAGACCACACGUUCUUAAGAUGAGUUGCAUGUGUUUCACUUUCAACAACAAAUUUGCAAUACCUUAAUCCUAUCCUUUCCCAUUUACUACUCGACAACUUACUUGUCUGCGUGACUGCCGGUCAUACCGUACCUCACAUGCCUUAUACUCACCGCUCCUCCUGACCAAUCAUUUCUAGGGAAAGUAUAUGACAAUUCGAAACUCGAAAGCAUCCAUAAUGUAAAGGCUGAAUUCCCAUAGCCUCCUAAGCCUACUAAACUUGAUGCAUGCACCCAGGGAAAAACUCCAGUGUUCGUUAGUGUGGGGUGGGAACUAAUCCAUCACGCACAGAAACUAUCUGUCUCUCUCCCAAGCCAACUCUGUCUCUGUUCUUCCUUGUUCUUCCUCUUUCUCCCCUGUUAGAUCCAAAUAUUUCAGGUGGAUCGUCACAAUCACCAACUCGAUUUGUGCUUCUUCGCUGUUGGCCUGCAGCUCCCCUCUCCCAUCUGGUCACUUCAACCAUAACCCAUGAUCUAGCUCUCCAUCCAUCCAAGAUCUGCCUCCAAUUCUCAAGCUAAACACGCAAUUGCCACUUUUGUCACAUCUAGAUGCACCAUGGUGAAAGGUGCUAACGAUCUCGCCGAUGCAAGUCAGGAAUCUCAACAUGAUGUGCAGGUACGGUGUGCCCACAAAAUCCAACUCUCAAGUCUCAAUAUAGGUAUAUUAUUUUGCACAUGAGUUCCAUAGUUUCUAUCUCGAGGAACCCAAGGUAUUGGAGACAUUACAUUCCUGAUGCCUCCAAUGGCUAAUGUCUAAUAGAAACAAGGAAACUCUAAGAGGCUCUAGGCCAAAGCAAGUAAAGUGAGAGACUAACUCUGUCAUACAUGUGUUCAGAGCAUAUGACAAUUGAGAGCUCCAGACUUGAUGUCAUCCAGACUAUAUAUAUGUAAACAAUAGAUAGCUCGAGUGAGAUCCAGAUCAUAAUUCGAAGCUCAUUUUCAAAUUUAUAAUUUAGUUAUAUCCAUAAUUUAAUUUGAGCUCUUUCUUCAUUACUUUCUUUGACCGGUUCUCUUUCCACGAAGGAAAGUAAAAAAAAACUACCUAAAGUUAUUCUUCAAAGCAAGCUGUGAAAAUCAGAAUAAUAUUUUUGGAUUAUAAUCAGCAGCAAAGCUAAGCAGGGGUACAUGACAGCUAUAUAUGAACACUUCUGUAAGUGAAUCCUUGACCUAAUCAAUAUUUAGCGUGAUAGGAGUAUUGCACUAGAAAAUAUAAUAAAUGACGAUUAUUUUUAUUGUUGCAACACAUUCAUCUGUAACUAGAACUGACACAAUUUGCUUCAUCAAUGAUGUAAUAUAUAAAGUAACACGAAGAUUUGAAAGAAAAAUGACUGUCUUAAUCUGUACUGUUGUUAAAAGAAGAGGAUGGUGUUGUGAUGAUGGAAGAUUGCAAAUUGUUGGAGAUGGUGGUUAUGCAAUUGUUUGCUAAAGUUGGUUGCAAUCUAGGAAAGAGGAGAAAAAAGUAAUUUGUAUUUGGUCGCGGUUUUAGUUUGGUUCAUCUGUUUGCCUUGAAAGGUAUUGGAGCCUUUGUGCUCCUUUCAGUACUUUGUAAGAUGCUUGACCCUUUGUGUGCCUUUCGGCUCUGAACAUGAGGGUAAGGACCGAGUUCUUGUGCUUGGGAAUACUUGUGGCUGUAUACACCCUUGUUAACGUAGAGGCUUGGUUUCAAUCUAUUAUCUUAAAUAAAAUCUCACUACCUCGUCCUAAUAUUGUUUUCUGCUGCGAUCAAUUGAGAGUCUGGACCUUUUUUCUCUCAAGCAACAAACAAAAGGCUUUGGCAUCUUGAUAAUCACAUUGAAUUGUUAUUCUCUUACAACUAUUGCUGUUGUCUAUGCGAGUAUUCGUUGUGCAUAAGAUUCUUUUGUUUAAUAACAGGAAAAUAUUUUAGCAUUACUGUUGUCUAUGUGAGUUUUCUGCAUUGAAGUGCCAUAUUAUGUAGAAUUGCUACCUAUCAGCCUAUCACACGUUAUUCCAGCAUUCAAAUCUCUCAAAUAUUGUAUAAGAGUGUAAACCCAAAUAUUGUCUUUGAAUAUAAUUUAUGUUUGUAUCCAAGACAUCCCAAGCCUACUUAUACUAUAUGUACAACUAAGAAACAAGACUUGUAAACAAAUGCCCGAAUAAUAGCCUAUACAUGUAAAAUUGAAAUUUUUGUGCACAUGUGCGUAAAAAUACACAGUGAAAUGGAUUUAAAUCAAGAACACUGAGACGCAUGUUAGUAUCAGGAGCAGGGUGGGAGAUCGCUCAAGCCAAAUGUAUAGGUGAGUUCCAUGAUGGCCAUAAAAAAGGCUGCUAACUCUUACUGGCAGGACUACCAUCAGCAUACUUAGCUGCAUUGUUGCUGUACAAUACAGUAAAAAAAACCUGCCCAAUUAAUCCCUCAAUACUGUCCUGUCUUUGUGUUCUUAAGUUCUUUAGCUGUUGAACAUCUUCUAAUACCCAUUCUCGUCUUCUGGAGAAACAUAUAGACUUUGCCUGAGACAGUGGUUUCCAUGUUGAACAAUUGUACCAGAGUUUGAUCCUACCAUGCCUGAAUGUGCUCGGUCUUCUAUUCCUGAUACCUACUAAGCCUAUUAUAAUACUAUGAUAGCACUUAAGAAAGAAAUCUAAUAGGCCAUGAGACAUGCUCAAAUGCCAAUAGAUUCAUCCAAGAAAAGAGAAAAUAGACGAAACAAUGUAGCUAAGUAGCCUUGAAAGGGAUAAAGAGGCCAUGAACAUUUUAGAACUAGAGACCAACAGAGUCAUGCAUAGUCUUGGCACCAUUCUCAAUAAGUAGAAGAAGCAGAGUCAUUCUAAAGAACCGCUUUAUGUUGUGUACUUUCUUCUCACCAUUAAUUCCUCGACACUCUUGGCACUAACAUUUCUCAGUUGGUUAUGUUAAGUCAUGCUUAGGGCAGUGGCAGUGCAAGGCAUGCUAUGCGUGCCUCUGGCCCAUUUCUGCGAUGAAAUUGGCCCGAAAGCCACGCACCUCACUGUGCUCGUGACCCAACAAAAGAAUCCUUGACCCCACAGCCACCUACCCCUUCGUUUUUAUCCUCACGCACAAAUGAAAAAAAAAAUCUGCUACUUCUCCUCCCCAUCCACCGCGCGCUUCUCCCCCCAAAUCCGCCGGCCGCUUCUCCUCGCCAUCCACUGCGCCGCUUCUCCCCCAAAUCCGCCGCGGCACUUCUUCCCCAAUCCGCCUCGUCCCUCCUCUCUUGGCCGGUGAUGAGAAGACUGACCGUCGACGGCGGCGGUGCG
rnacentral:sRNA from 1 species